rnacentral:rRNA from 1 species
UACGAAGGGGGCUAGCGUUGUUCGGAAUUACUGGGCGUAAAGGGCGCGUAGGCGGUGUGUCAAGUCAGGCGUGAAAUCCCUCGGCUUAACCGGGGAACUGCAUCUGAUACUGGAUGGCUUGAGUUCGGGAGAGGGAUGCGGAAUUCCAGGUGUAGCGGUGAAAUGCGUAGAUAUCUGGAGGAGCACCGGUGGCGAAGGCGGGUCUCUGGACAGUUCCUGACACUGAGACACGAAGGCCAGGGGAGCAAACGGG